rnacentral:tRNA from 1 species
UUACAUAAAGUUUUUAUGAACAUAAUAUUGAAGAUAUUAAAGAGAUUAAUUCUACAAGGA